rnacentral:rRNA from 1 species
UACGGGGGGGGCAAGCGUUGUUCGGAAUUACUGGGCGUAAAGGGCUCGUAGGCGGCCAACUAAGUCGGACGUGAAAUCCCCAGGCUCAACCUGGGAACUGCGUCCGAUACUGGAUGGCUUGAAUCUGGGAGAGGGAUGCAGAAUUCCAGGUGUAGCGGUGAAAUGCGUAGAUAUCUGGAGGAAUACCGGUGGCGAAGGCGGCAUCCUGGACCGGCAUUGACGCUGAGGAGCGAAAGCCAGGGGAGCAAACGGG